AGGUGCUCAUGGCCUGCUGAAGACUGAUGUUGGAACAGAAGAGCUGAGAAACACACCUGCCCCUACCUCAAGCCCUGCACCAAGUAAAAGUCAGCAGCAAUAUACCCUGGGGAAAGGGCUAGAGUGUGGCUGGAGAUCUUGCUGAAAGCUGGAGGUGGAGGAGGAAUACAAAGAUAAGAUUUUAGGACUCCAGGCUUCACAACUCCUUCUACAUCUGUUGUUCAAGGUUCAGACUCAAUAUGCAACUAAUUUAUGAAGCCCGUUUAGACCACAACAACCCUGAUGCAAGAUGUUCUCCACUAUGUUAAGAUGCAGCAUGAAGCCCUUACCAGAAGCUAAGAGUAUUCCGUUAGAGCAACACAAAACAGACUAAGACAACUUGUUCAUUACUGAUGUACAGAUUUCACUGACCAGCAACACUCCAGUGAAACUGCAGUCAAAAUUUAUGGAGUCUGCAGUAAAUAUGAAGCUAAAGUAACAGGCAAUGAAGAGCUCACCUGCUGCCUCCAGGGCUGCUUAACAUGCUGCAACCAGGCUGAAUGGUGCAUAUUGGACUGGAACCUGGAUCCUUGAGUAAAUGAAAGGAGAAAAGCCCCUAUCCAGUAUAUCAGAUUUGUGUAAACCAAAAAAUAAACUUUCAAUAUGCACUCUCCAGGAAAAGCUGCCUGCUAGAUAACAUGAAGACACGCCAGCAGCCUCAUGGGGGUGGAGGGAAGAGAGGCCUCAUGGUGAGGGACUGAGGCCUCCUACUAAAAGCCAGCACUAACUUGUCAGGCAUGAAAGUGAGCCACCUGGAAGCACAUCUUCAGCCCCUGUGGACCCUUUAGAUGACUGCAGGCCCUGCUGACAUCUUGACUGAAACCUCAUGAGACAGCUAGAACCAGAAUCGCCCAGAGAGAAGAACAUCAAAGGUGCGGGUUUAGGGCCCAGAAAGCCACUGGCCCCUUAAUAUCCAGAAAAGGACAAAAACUCACGGGAGUCAAGCACUGUUUGCCUGGAAGAAGAAAGAUAAAGACACAGACAAGCCCUGCUCCCCCACCAGCCAAAACUACUAUUCUACCUGUUUCCUGAUUCUGACCCACGUAUAUUCACUUGUUUCAUCAUUUUCUCAUUCAAAAAUAUAUUCAUUCAAUUAAUAAUGAUUUACUGAGUGUGUAUUAUGUAGCCAGUGCUUGCAUGGAACUCAGAUUACAGCUGGAAAUGAAACAGAUCUGGUCUUACACCCUCUGUACAUCUUCUUCCUCCUGUUACCACUCUAUCCUGUCUUCAACCUCAACUUCACUACUAAUUUCAUACUUAAUCAUAUCUUAACAGCUCUCAAUAAAAAUGUAAAAACAUAGACAAAAUUA
rnacentral:lncRNA from 1 species